rnacentral:misc_RNA from 1 species
UGGCUCUCGCAUCGAUGAAGAACGCAGCGAAACGCGAAAUGUAAUGUGAAUUGCAGAAUCUCAGUGAAUCAUCGAAUCUUUGAACGCAUCUUGCGCCUGGUGGCAUUCCGCCAGGUAUGCCUGUCUGAGUGUCCAUUUCCUCUCAAAACAACCUUGCUUUUUAUCGAGCUUGGGAUUUUUUGGAUCAUGGAUUUGGUGGGAGCAUCGCGCUCCAACCAAUCUUGAAUUGAGUCGGUCGUAAACGUGUCCAAAACGGCUAGACCGAGUGUUGUAUCAUCCUCACUUGGGACGUUUGUGAAGCGUUGGGCCCACAACCCCUAAAACUUUUUGUUUUAGACCUCAGAUCAGGUAGGAUUACCCGCUGA